AUUACAAGAAAAAAGAAAUCAAAUUCAUCACAGGUGUUCCUGAUCUCAUGCAGCACUUACUAAAUAUAUAUGAUGGGAAAAAAUGACAAUCUUCCCCCAAGAGAAUAGGUUUAACUACGUGAGCAAAAUAUCAUUCAAGCCCCUCAGAUCUUCAUACAAAGUUGUUCUGUUGUACAUACAUACAUGUCCUUGUGUGCUGUUAGAAGAAAUCCCAAUUCUGGAGCAGCUGCACAGAGGGGGCUUCUAAUCAAAACUGAACUUGAACAAGAAUAAAUCAAGGAAGAAACUGCUCCCCUGCUGCUGACCCGCAGACGUCCGUUUUCACGCUGGAUAAAUACCAAGCAGCUUGCAAGAGAAGUCACAGUAAAGCCCACCUUGGCUCCGAACACUCAGAUGUGCCAGAGGCACAGGAACUUUAUUUUGAAAUCCAGAUGACAUCCUUGAAACUGCCGGUUCCCGACAUUAACUCCUUGGCGGGGACGCGCGCUGAGUGCGCACAUUGCGGAGACAGAGGGCAACAAACAACCUCGGGGCGGGGGACUCCCCUCACCCCGCAGGCACGGCGCUGCUCCGAAGGGCGCAUCAGGCAGAGGAACGGGAAGCACCAGCAGAGGCAUGUGUGACGCUGGGACGGAGAAAGGGCUGGAGUUUGGGGGUUUUGUCAUCUCGCCUGUGUUUUUUAAGUACAAAAGUAGAACGUAGGAAGAUGAUUGGAGUCAGAUUGUCCACUGAGGCCCCGUUAUUAGGAAAUAGCUGUUUGGCAAUAAAUGUCAUCUUAACUAGUAAACCUCGAAAAGCUAAAUGGGGGUCAAAAU